rnacentral:antisense_RNA from 1 species
AUUUGUUGUAAAUUAUUACUAACUUACGGGGGCCUUUGACGAUCGACCCCCAACGGACCACGGGUCAAAAAGACCGCCGAAAUACAUUGCUUUCCAAACUAAAAGCCAUGCACCAAAGCCUAAAAUAACUAAAUGAAUACCUAAAAUUGUAGACAUUUUGUUUUUAUCUUUCCA